AGAUAGUUAUAGAGAAGACAGGUGGUGCAUGGUUGUCGUCAGCUCGUGUCGUGAGAUGUUGGGUUAAGUCCCGCAACGAGCGCAACCCUUGUCGUUAGUUACCAGCAGUAAGAUGGGGACUCUAACGAGACCGCCGGUGAGAAGCCGGAGGAAGACGGGGAUGACGUCAAAUCAUCAUGCCCCUUAUGACCUGGGCGACACACGUGCUACAAUGGUCGGUACAGAGAGAAGCGAAGCUGUGAAGUGGAGCGAAACUCAAAAAGCCGAUCGUAGUCCGGAUUGCAGUCUGCAACUCGACUGCAUGAAGCUGGAAUCGCUAGUAAUCGCAAGUCAGCCAUAUUGCGGUGAAUACGUUCUCGGGCCUUGUACACACCGCCCGUCACACCAUGAGAGUUGAUAACACCCGAAGCCGGUGGCCUAACGGAAACGAAGGAGCUGUCGAAGGUGGGAUUGAUGAUUGGGGUGAAGUCGUAACAAGGUAUCCCUACGGGAACGUGCGGCUGGAUCACCUC
rnacentral:rRNA from 1 species